AUGCACACGAGACACAAUGCAAAGUUACGAAAACAGGAGGUGUUCCUCCACCUGGGCAGAUCCAGUUCCCCUCAGUGCAGCCAGACUCUGUGACUUUAAGAUGGUCACCACCAGAGGGCGCUCCUGGCCCCCACAGGUACAGGGUGACCAGGAGACGAGGCCAAGAGCAGCGCAGCAUCCUGGUGACGGGUCUUCAGAUGGAGGUGACAGGACUUCUUCCAGGAGAGAAGUACCACUUUACUGUGGCCACCCUCAGUGAAGAUGGCCGCCAGAGCCCAUGCGUGGGGGGAUCUGUACACACAGAGGUUCCGAUGCCAGAGAAUCUCACUGUAGAAUCCAACUCCUCGUGUGUCUCUUUGAAGUGGACCAAACCAGAAGGAAUAGACCAGGUGUCUUACCUGCUGGAGCUUUUCUAUGAGGGACAGGGGGAACAGACGAGGAUCAUUAGCACAGAUUUACUCCUUCAUUCUAUCUCGUACUUCCAACAUGGCAGUAAAUACACUGUCCAAGUAUCUACACUGAAAAAUGAACGUCAAAGC